UGGGGAAUAUUGGACAAUGGGCGCAAGCCUGAUCCAGCCAUGCCGCGUGGGUGAUGAAGGCCUUAGGGUUGUAAAGCCCUUUCGGCGGAGAAGAUAAUGACGGUACCCGCAGAAGAAGCCCCGGCUAACUUCGUGCCAGCAGCCGCGGUAAUACGAAGGGGGCUAGCGUUGCUCGGAAUUACUGGGCGUAAAGCGCACGUAGGCGGCUUGUUAAGUCGGGGGUGAAAUCCCGGAGCUCAACUCCGGAACUGCCUUCGAUACUGGCAAGCUCGAGUCCGGGAGAGGUGAGUGGAACUGCGAGUGUAGAGGUGAAAUUCGUAGAUAUUCGCAAGAACACCAGUGGCGAAGGCGGCUCACUGGCCCGGUACUGACGCUGAGGUGCGAAAGCGUGGGGAGCAAACA
rnacentral:rRNA from 1 species